rnacentral:rRNA from 1 species
AACUAACUAGGAUUCCCUCAGUAGCUGCGAGCGAACAGGGAUAAGCCCAGCACCGAAUCCCGCGGCCGAUACCGGACGCCGGGAAAUGUGGUGUUCGGGAGGGUCCAUUAUCCCGAGGUUAUGCGACGCGUCCAAGUCCUUCUUGAACGGGGCCACAGCCCAUAGAGGGUGCCAGGCCCGUAGUGACCGUCGCUAAUCGCGGGAGGAUCUCUCCUCAGAGUCGGGUUGCUUGAGAGUGCAGCCCUAAGUGGGUGGUAAACUCCAUCUAAGGCUAAAUAUGACCACGAGACCGAUAGCGAACAAGUACCGUGAGGGAAAGUUGAAAAGCACUUUGAAGAGAGAGUUCAAGAGUACGUGAAACCGUUUAGGGGUAAACCUGAGAAACCCGAAAGGUCGAAGGGAGAAAUUCAUUCGCGUUUCGACGUAGGCGUCGGGCUGUCGCGUGACGGAAGGCGUUCGCGCUAUUUCGCAUCUUCAGCUCGUACGAACCGACGGCGAACGCGUGCACUUUUCUCCUGGUAGGACGUCGCGAUCCGUUGGGUGUCGGUCUACGGCUCGCGGUGGAGCCCGUACGUCGUUGCAAAACGUACGUGCGGACCCGCGUGUCCCGGCCGACUCGCUCGACGGUAUACGAAAGGUUUAAGGCCGCUCCCUCGUGAGCGUUCGGCUCGUGGCAAGCGCGCCAGAUGCGUCGGCGAUCGGACCUGGUGCCGAUUCUGACCUCUGGUGACUGUUGGCCACGAUGUUCUCGAACAGACU